CAGAGGAGACACACACUGGAUUCCCAAAGUCCUUCCAGUCAGGGUUCAACAUUGAAGACAGGUCACUUACCAUGGAGUUAAGGCUCAUAUUGGUUUCCUUUGUUCUUAUUUUAAAAGGUGUGCAGUGUGAAGUGCAGUUGCUGGAGUCUGGGGGAGGCUUAGUGCAGCCUGGAAAUUCCCUGAAACUCUCCUGUGCAGCCUCCGGAUUCACCUUCAGUAGCUACUGGAUGAGCUGGGUCCGCCAGGCUCCAGGGAAGGGGCUGGAGUGGGUCGCAUAUAUUAAUACUGGUGGUGGUAGCACCUCCUAUAAGGACUCUGUGAAGGGUCGGUUCACAAUCUCCAGAGAAGACGCCAAGAACACUCUGUACCUGGAAAUGAACAGUCUGAGAUCUGAAGACACAGCCAUGUAUUACUGUACAAGAUACACAGUGUGUGAAUGCUACUGA